rnacentral:tRNA from 2 species
GUGCCAUUAGCUCAGCUGGUAGAGCACCUGACUCUUAAUCAGGGUGUCCGGGGUUCGAGCCCCCGAUGGCGCACCA